CAGCACCUCAAGUGGUCAGGAUGAUUAUUGGGCCUAAAGCAUCCGUAGCCGGCUCUGUAAGUUUUCGGUUAAAUCUGUACGCUCAACGUACAGGCUGCCGGGAAUACUGCAGCGCUAGGGAGUGGGAGAGGUAGACGGUACUCGGUAGGAAGGGGUAAAAUCCUUUGAUCUAUUGAUGACCACCUGUGGCGAAGGCGGUCUACCAGAACACGUCCGACGGUGAGGGAUGAAAGCUGGGGGAGCAGACCGGAUUAGAUACCCGUGUAGUCC
rnacentral:rRNA from 1 species